rnacentral:lncRNA from 1 species
UUCGGCCCGGGCCCGAGCCUAGGCGCGCCCGGGCAUCCCGCGGCGCAAGAGGCGGACGCCUCCCGCCCUCUCGCUCCCCCGGAGCUACUCCUGCUGCGGGAAGGGAGGGCCAAGCGGGAACUUGCAGCCGGCGGAGGAGAGGGCGCCGAAAGGGCCGGGGAAGUUUCCGCUCGCACAGGUGCUUCGUCUCUGCCAGGUUCUGGCCGCAGCGCAGCCUGCGGGCAGCCGGGAAAGAGCCUUGCUCGCGUCUCUGCCUCCGACGGGAUCCAGCUGUUCCUCCGCAGCUGGACAAGGAGCGGAUGUGCUCCGGCCAAACGGGAGCCUAUUAAACACGGGGUGGGGCUCUCUCGUCUCCUUAACGAAGAAAGAAAGAAAGAAAACUUGGCCCCGGCUCUGCCGGCGCUUGAGAGAAGUCCGGGUUUAUUUAGAGUUUAGGAGAGAGGAGAGACGACGUUUCCUUAGCCUCACUUCCAGCCCCCCUGCUUGCUACCCACAGAGAGCAGAGAAGGAAGGCUCCCUCCUUCUCCCCUAACUUGACUGCAAGCUGAGACUGGUCUCCGGAACUGAAGUCCAGCCAGGAACUCAUCCCCCGGGAGUCUCUGUGCUUGCCGCUGUGUUCCCUUGCUACCCAUUGCUAGGCGUCACGCCUCGUGGGGGAGUCUUCUCGAGCAGGAUUAAAAGACAGAGAAGAAGAAAACAUUGUAACCUUAACUGGAAACGAACAAUUUGCUCUACUGGGUUUCUAAUUACUAGUAGCAAAGCAUAAUGGCUGCAAAUCUGCUUCCUGGAGAGUUUGGAAGUUCUGCUUAUAGAUUUGAAGGUCGUCUUUGUCCUAUAAAGAAGGGGACGUGAUGGGCGCUUUUCUUGAUAAAUAAAGUAAUCCAGGGACCAGAGCUUCAUGGUGCUAUUUUCCGUGUUCUGUAGGUGUUAUUCUUCUCUUAGAAUAUCUUAGUGAUGGGUUUCUUGGGGUUUUCCCCCUCACUUUACUUUGUAGCAGUACUUGACAAUAGUGAAUGCGCUGAUGGUGAACGUCGGUGAUAUGUCGGAUGGCAGCGAGCAUCAGUAGCCUGAGGAAAUACAGGACUUGCACUGUGGGUGGCAUUACAUUUUCUGCUUGUAUCUGACAGCAGCAGUGGGCCUCUACUCAUUUACAUGGGUAUUUAAGUUCCUCAAUUAAUCCUUUUAUCCUAAAAAUGAUAUUCUAGUCAGGUUCAAUAUAGG